ACGGCGAGUGAAGCGGGAUGAGCUCAAAUUUAAAAUCUGGCCGGUUUACUGGUCCGAAUUGUAGUUUAAAGAAGCGUUUUCGGUGGCAGCCUGGGUAUAAAUCCUUUGGAAUAGGGUAUCAUAGAGGGUGAGAAUCCCGUCUUUGACUCAGUGCAUGCUACUAUGUGAUACGUUUUCAAAGAGUCGAGUUGUUUGGGAAUGCAGCUCAAAAUGGGUGGUAAAUCUCAUCUAAGGCUAAAUACUGGCCAGAGACCGAUAGCGCACAAGUAGAGUGAUCGAAAGAUGAAAAGCACUUUGAAAAGAGGGUCAAAUAGUACGUGAAAUUGUUGAAAGGGAAGCGCUCAUGACCAGACUUGUGCCGGGCUGAUCAUCCAGUGGUCUCCACUGGUGCACUCUGCCCGGCUCAGGCCAGCGUCGGCUGUCACGGGGGGACAAAAGCACUGGGAAAGUAGCUCUCUCCGGGGAGUGUUAUAGCCCUAUGCAGAAUACCCCCGCGGCGGCCGAGGUCCGCGCUCUGCA
rnacentral:rRNA from 1 species